rnacentral:rRNA from 1 species
UACGAAGGGGGCUAGCGUUGCUCGGAAUCACUGGGCGUAAAGCGCACGUAGGCGGAUCGUUAAGUCAGGGGUGAAAUCCUGGAGCUCAACUCCAGAACUGCCUUUGAUACUGGCGACCUUGAGUUCGGGAGAGGUGAGUGGAACUGCGAGUGUAGAGGUGAAAUUCGUAGAUAUUCGGAGGAACACCAGUGGCGAAGGCGGCUUACUGGUCCAUUACUGGCGCUGAGGUGCGAAAGCGUGGGGAGCAAACAGG